ACAUGACUACAACAUAGCGUUAAUGCAUCAGAUCAUAUUAGACCUCUGCAGUUAAGCAAGCUCGGGCUAGAGUAGUACUGGGAUGGGUGACCGUCUGUGAAGACCUGGUAUUUUACAUGCA
rnacentral:rRNA from 1 species